GACGAACCGUGCGAACGUUAUUCGGAAUCACUGGGCUUAAAGGGCGCGUAGGCGGACGAGCAAGUCCGGGGUGAAAUCUUUCGGCUUAACCGGAAAAGUGCCUGGGAAACUGCUCGUCUUGAGGGAGGUAGGGGCCUGUGGAACUUCCGGUGGAGCGGUGAAAUGCGUUGAUAUCGGAAGGAACGCCGGUGGCGAAAGCGACGGGCUGGCCCUCCACUGACGCUGAGGCGCGAAAGCCAGGGGAGCGAACGGG
rnacentral:rRNA from 1 species